rnacentral:lncRNA from 1 species
GAAGCUGUGAGCUCUGACAGGUGUAGAUAACCGUGCCCAAGUGACUGCUGUAGGCGUAAGAGGAUACUAUAGGGCAUAAAAAUGCAUUAGAUGCUUGUGUUUAGGUGAAUUAAUCUAGCCAUCAGAAUCUUGAAUAGAGUAAUGGAAUAGUCAUACUUUUGAUUAGCUUGCUUUGUAUAUAAAAACAAAUAAUACUAAGAUUUUGAUUUUUAGCUCUUUCACUCUCUCCAGUGAGAUUUAUUCAUCUAUAAAAGCAUCAUUCAAAAUCAAUACGAAGAAAAAACUGAAGAACAGGCUUCAAAUCUUUGUAAAGACAUAAAUGAUAGACUGACAGAUGUUGAGUUUUUUCAUAAACAGAAAUAUUACAACAUAAAUGGAGAAGACACAGCGUGUUCACCAGGAAAACUUUGAAUAUUUUAUGUAACAAACUACACGAGGAGAUUGAAGAUCUGGAGAGAAAAGUGCAGGAAUACCAAAAAAAGGAAGGACUAAGAUGGUAUGUUUUUGUAAAAGAUCAUAAACUCAUUGUCCAAAUGUGAAAAUCUUCAAACAUAUUCAAUGAAGUGUAUUUCCAGUGCCAUUAUUCUUAUAGGAAACAUUAGGUUGGGAAAAUACUAGAAUGCUGUUUGGGAUUGUCCUGUGCUAUUGUAAGGAUUUUGAUGAAAAUAAUUUAUAGGACUCUACUAAUGUCACACAAAUUUAUAUCAGUAAUACUCUGACCAAGAACUGGUUGUACUACCUUUUUUUAUCUAUUUUUUAAUAAAAUAAAAAUAUUUUAUGAAAUAUUUUUGUAA